AGCAGUCGCCGCGGUAAUACGAAGGGGGCUAGCGUUGUUCGGAAUUACUGGGCGUAAAGCGCACGUAGGCGGAUAUUUAAGUCAGGGGUGAAAUCCCGCAGCUCAACUGCGGAACUGCCUUUGAUACUGGGUAUCUUGAGUAUGGAAGGGGUUAGUGAAUUGCGAGUGUAGAGGUGAAAUUCGUAGAUAUUCACAGGAACACCAGUGGCGAAGGCGGCUAACUGGUCCAUAACUGACGCUGAGGUGCGAAAGCGUGGGGAGCAAACAGGAUUAGAUACCCCUGUAGUCCCUGUCUCUUAUACA
rnacentral:rRNA from 1 species